CCACGUCAAUUGGUCUCCUCCAGCAGUCGUCACUCCACAUUGUCCCACCUCCUCCUUGUCUUCUCCGGGCAGCGGACGUAUAUAAACACACAGUACCAUCUUCCUCCAGCCUACCUAGUAACAUCACCAUAACCAUUACGUGGAGCUCGGAUGGGAGGGCGCACAGGCGAAGAGAUUGUGGCUGAUUUCAACAGAAAAGCCCCCACAGCCACCGAGGCUCGUCCAGCUACUCAUCCAGCGCAGCAUUAUGUCAGCAUCACCUGUUGUUCCCUCCGUCGGUGAGUCCAUCUAUAUUCUUUUUUUUUUUUUUUAAAUCAUCCAUCCCGGUUGAUCCACACGAACGCCGCAUCAUUUGCAGGACGUUAAUGUUUGUUUCUCCUCGCUCCACCUUUUCCUUGUUUUUUUGCCCCCCCUUUUCUCGGCGCAUCCGGAUUGAAAGAACAAAAAAAAGAAAAAAUACAACAAACGAUGCAAAAUCAAGUCCUAAACAAAAAGAAAAAAGAGAACAGCUGUUAGCAUAUCUAAGGGAGAUGAAAAUGACAGCGGCUUCUUCCUCCUCUUCGUGCCUUGAGGGAAAAUGUUUAUCGUGUCGUCAUGUUGCCGUGAUUUGAGGGAAGAAGAAAAAUAACAGAUAAGUGACCAGACUACACUUGAAGAUCGGGAUCAAAUGUGUCAGAUAAUCACAGGUCUUUUGGCUUUAUAACCUCCUGAGAGAAAACUUCGGUGCAGCAACAGGUGGCAUGUUUUUUUUUUCUUUUUUUUCUCCGAGCCGGAAUCGAGGCGAGAUGCUGAGGAGGAGAUGGACGUGGAAAAAAAAGAAAAAAGAAAAAAAAAGAAAGAAAAAAAAGUAGGGCGUCAUUCAGCACCGAGACACUGGACAGCUCCCACGUCGAGGGCUAAUCAUUUCCAUUUAGCUGCGAUCUGGAAGGAAUAACAGCCUCAUUUGUGGCUCUUACAGCUUUAUUCCAAUCAUGCUGACACAUCCACUGAAUAUUAUUAAAUUCAGCUGCUGUUUGGGGACUGAAUGGUUGAUUUUUCUGAGUGGCAGAUUCUUUGAAAGCCUCCAAGAGCAACAGCAAAUGGUUUGUUUUACUGUAUGAAAAUGAGUUCAGUGGACAUUAUUGAUCAUGGGUCCUCCUCUUGGUAUAAACAGAGUACUGUCUCCCUUCAGCACUCCUCUUUUCUCUAGUUUGCACUUAAGGACCCCAUCUUCCCCCUCUUCCUUCCUUCCUUCCUUCCUUCCUUGCUUGCUUCCUUCCUUCCUUCCUUCCUCUCUCUAAACUGUCCCCAUCUUCCCAUCCCCCUCUUCCACUGACUCCCAGUCUUGUUGCAUAGCUACCAGCUCAAAAAAAAAAAAAAAAAAAACAUACUGGAGAUGCAGGACAAUCUGUAUGUCUCUUUUCUCUCUCCCCCUUAGCAUAAAUGUGACUUAAUUUGCAGGAGUUAAAAAAAAAAUCAGAGUUUGAGGGCCACGUUUCCGCCUCCUCAGGGUUGUACACCGCUCAGGGUUUCUGCUCCCUGCAUAUGGUGAACAGCAUUUAAUCUAAGUGCUGUGGUGUGAUCCUCCCUCUCUCUCUCUGUGUUCCCUCCCCCCUCCUCCUCCUCCUCCUCCUCCUCCUGUCUCCCUCUUUUGAGAGGAGCUGAAAGGUUGGCAUUACAACAACAAAGGAAGGAUGGAAUGUCAACAGGCUUCAGAGAGAAAUGGGCUGAGGGAAACACCAGAGAUGGGAAUUGCAUGUAGCGUCUCCGACAUCUAAAGUUUACAACCCAUCAGCACACUACCAGCCGGUGCUCUGCAACACCUGUGACACACGCAUAUCCUCAAGUCCACGAUGGUGACGCUAUCGAAGCAGAGGAUGUGGACGCGACGUGAGAAAGUGUUGGUGGUGCUGAGUGGAAGACUAGUGAUUUUGUUGUGACGCUGAUCAAAGAACAACAAGUCCCAGUCUACCUCUCAGCACAAGCAGUGCCCUCCGGUUUACGUCAGCUUUAACCUGCACGACUCUUCGGUUCACAUUUCACUCCUGGCCUUGUUGAUGGGAAUUUUCUGGAGGUUUUUUUCAGUGGUGACAAUUUGAAACUUGCUCUGUAAAAACCACUUAAAAUGGUCUGAUUCAGUCACCAUGUGAAUGAGUGUAGCCAAACUGUUCAGCAAUGUUAAUUACUGGCAAUCAGAAGCAUCAAUUAAGCAUUCAUGGAACUGAAUCACACACAACAAAAGCUGCUCAGGGAAAUACUGCAAUAAUGCCAUAAAGUACUUUGUACGCCACAGAAUGAAAUAGCUGAGUAUUAUUGUUCAACAGGCUUGUUCUAAACUUUCCAGUUAUGCUACAUAUUCUUAAUCCAAGUGUCUAUUGUUUAUCAAUUAUCCUCAAUUGGAACAAACAGUAUUUAAAGUCCUUUAUUUUGGUAAAAUAAAACCUGACUGUAAACCUCU